rnacentral:rRNA from 1 species
UACAGAGAGUGCAAGCGUUGUUCGGAAUCAUUGGGCGUAAAGCGCACGUAGGCGGUUCGUUAUGUCGGAUGUGAAAGCCCUUGGCUUAACCGAGGAAGUGCAUCCGAAACUGGCGAGCUAGAGUACUAAAGAGGAUCGCGGAAUUCCCGGUGUAGCGGUGAAAUGCGCAGAUAUCGGGAGGAACACCGGUGGCGAAGGCGGUUCUCUGGGCCUGUACUGACGCUGAGGAGCGAAAGCGUGGGGAGCGAACAGG